rnacentral:sRNA from 1 species
AGUGAAUAUUAAUUGCACGUACGACUUAACAUUUGGCGUAGAACUUACAAAAUGAUAACUCGUACAACUGUUUUCUUUAUAUGUAUAAAAAAUCAAAGUCGAAUAUUGUACGUACAACUAAAAAAAUACCGUGGCUUCCAUUUUACUGCAAAGACACUAUAAUAAACCAUGAAGGACCAAUUUGGCAUGGUGCUCACACAAGAGCAAGGAACUGGAGGCUGAAGAAACAUAAAUUAGUCAUGGUCAACUCAUAAGAUCCUGACAAAUAAAAGCUGCUGAAUGCUUGACCACAAGCCAUUCUACUGAGUAUAACCAAAAAGCAAGCAGCAAAUUAGAAAAUCAAGGGACAGAGCAAAAGUAAGAGUGCGCAAUUCAAAGGCAAGGAUGGGCGUCGCAGAGGUCCUGGCCAUAGGGGAUGGGGCAGCCCUCCAAGUAUUUGAGAAGUCAAACAAGAACACAGAUCAGCAAGACAGGAAAAUGCAUUCUGAAGGAUGUGGCCUUAGCCAUAGAGACCACAGGACCCAUCAUGCAACUCCGCCCGAGAACUGCAUGCACAGACAAAAUAACCUGUACGAAGAAAUGCAGACAGACAGCCGGUGUCCAAAGACUGCUAAACCAAACAUAAGCCUAUGGGUAGCCUUAAUGGACAAUCCAAUAAUGGGGACCAGCCUACAAGAAAUAUUCCUGGCCCUCAACUGUCCAGCCCCAUCCUACACUGGACUGCAACGCAAUGGGGGUGUCGCUGCAAAAAAACAGCUUUGCAGUAAGCGUACUAAGGGGAGCAAGUGCCGAGAGCAUCCAGGAAAAUACUCAGCGUCCCUAACCAUGGAUGCACCCAUCGGCUGUGAACACAUCGCCACCGAGGAAAUCUGUCAUGACUUCCUUACAUACAGAGAACCCACCCGCAUUAGCCAUAUGACUACAGACGGAGACAGUGCUGCAUUCCGCGGUCUGCAGAGAACAAUGAGGGAACAUGGUCAGACCGUGGAGGCCCUGAGAGAUACCCGGCACCUUGCCCAAUCCCAGAAGGCGGCGGACAAUGCAAAAUUUAGCCAGAACAUGUUCCCCGGGAGGACCGCCACUGAGAGGCAGGCCGAAAAAAGAAUUUUUUCAGUGGAUAUAAUGAAGAGGUGCACAGCUGACGGCCUACCUACAGACUGCUGGCCAAAGGAGUACCUACCACCAAACUCAAGGACCUUUAACCCCACCCUGGAGGAUGAAGAGACCAUACGCGGCCUCGUGGACUUCCGGUUUAGCAGGAGUACCAUCACCACUACCAGAUAUGGUACAGAUACUCAGAAGUCUAAGGCACUUCAUAGAGGAUACUCUAAAUCCAAUCCAAAGAAUGUUACCUGUGCUGUGAGCUUUGAGCCCCCAAUCUAUUCUGCCAUCAACCGGAUGAACCAUGGUCCUGGGAAAUCCACCGUCCUAAAGUGUGCUGCCCUUUGUGCUCCCCUGCCUGAAGAUACCCGGGUGACGAGACAACUAGAAAGAAAACAGGAGAUAUACCUAACAGACAAGAUGAGGAAAAAAUCAUCCGUGUACCGCACAAGAAGACGGGCUCUCGUCAAGGAGAUAUUCGAGAUGUACUUCAAAAAAAAAACUGGUACCGAGGCUGGAUAUUCCAAGGGAAUGGGUGAUCCCCCCAUACCAAAGAGUGUCACUAAGAACAAAAGUGAACACUCGUACAACAAGCAACAAAAGUGA